GAACGCUGGCGGCGUGCCUAAUACAUGCAAGUCGAGCGGACCGACGGGAGCUUGCUCCCUUAGGUCAGCGGCGGACGGGUGAGUAACACGUGGGUAACCUGCCUGUAAGACUGGGAUAACUCCGGGAAACCGGGGCUAAUACCGGAUGCUUGAUUGAACCGCAUGGUUCAAUCAUAAAAGGUGGCUUUUAGCUACCACUURCAGAUGGACCCGCGGCGCAUUAGCUAGUUGGUGAGGUAACGGCUCACCAAGGCGACGAUGCGUAGCCGACCUGAGAGGGUGAUCGGCCACACUGGGACUGAGACACGGCCCAGACUCCUACGGGAGGCAGCAGUAGGGAAUCUUCCGCAAUGGACGAAAGUCUGACGGAGCAACGCCGCGUGAGUGAUGAAGGUUUUCGGAUCGUAAAACUCUGUUGUUAGGGAAGAACAAGUACCGUUCGAAUAGGGC
rnacentral:rRNA from 1 species